UGGGGAAUAUUGGACAAUGGGGGAAACCCUGAUCCAGCAAUGCCGCGUGAGUGAAGAAGGCCUUAGGGUUGUAAAGCUCUUUCGCCCGCGAAGAUAAUGACGGUAGCGGGAGAAGAAGCCCCGGCUAACUCCGUGCCAGCAGCCGCGGUAAUACGGAGGGGGCUAGCGUUGUUCGGAAUUACUGGGCAUAAAGCGUACGUAUGCGGAUGCGCAAGUUGGGGGUGAAAUCCCGGGGCUUAACCUCGGAAUUGCCCUCAAAACUGCACGUCUUGAGACCGAGAGAGGUAAGGGGAAUUCCUAGUGUAGAGGUGAAAUUCGUAGAUAUUAGGAAGAACACCAGUGGCGAAGGCGCCUUACUGGCUCGGUACUGACGCUGAGGUACGAAAGCGUGGGGAGCAAACA
rnacentral:rRNA from 1 species